GAUCGGGAGGCCACCUUCGGGACGGUGGCCAUGAAUAGAUCCAACCCCGCUGUCUCGUAUGGGCAAGAUGCUGUGGCCCGGCAGCAG
rnacentral:ncRNA from 1 species